rnacentral:rRNA from 1 species
UACGAAGGGGGCUAGCGUUGCUCGGAAUCACUGGGCGUAAAGCGCACGUAGGCGGAUCUUUAAGUCAGGGGUGAAAUCCCAAGGCUCAACCUUGGAACUGCCUUUGAUACUGGGAAGCUUGAGUUCGGGAGAGGUGAGUGGAACUGCGAGUGUAGAGGUGAAAUUCGUAGAUAUUCGCAAGAACACCAGUGGCGAAGGCGACUCACUGGCCCGUUACUGACGCUGAGGCGCGAAAGCGUGGGGAGCAAACAGGG